AUUGAACGCUGGCGGCAGGCCUAAUACAUGCAAGUCGAACGAGUGGCGGACGGGUGAGUAAUGUAUGGGAAACUGCCUGCUGGAGGGGGAUAACUAAUGGAAACGGUAGCUAAUACCGCAUACCAUCAGAUGUGCCCAGAUGGGAUGAGCUAGUUGGUGGGGUAACGGCUCACCAGGGCGACGAUCCCGAGCUGGCCUGAGAGGAUGACCGGCCACACUGGAACUGAGACACGGUCCAGACUCCUACGGGAGGCAGCAGUGGGGAAUAUUCGACAAUGGGCGCAAGCCUGAUGCAGCCAUGCCGCGGGUAUGAAGAAGGCCUUCGGGUCGUAAAGUACUUUCGUCGGGGAGGCGUUACCCGCAGAAGAAGCACCGGCUAACUCCGUGCCAGCAGCCGCGGUAAUUC
rnacentral:rRNA from 1 species